AUUGAACGCUGGCGGCAGGCCUAACACAUGCAAGUCGAACGAGUGGCGGACGGGUGAGUAAUGUCUGGGAAACUGCCCGAUGGUGGGGGAUAACUACUUGAAACGGUAGCUAAUACCGCAUACCAUCGGAUGUGCCCAGUUGGGAUGAGCUAGUAGGGGGGGUAACGGGUCACCUUGCCGACGAGCCCUAGCUGGUCUGAGAGGAUGACCAGACACACUGGAACUGAGACACGGGCCAGACUCCUAAGGGAGGCAGCAGUGGGGAAUAUUGGACAAUGGGCGCAAGCCUGAUGCAGCCAUGCCGCGUGUAUGAAGAAGGCGUUCGGGUUGUAAAGUACUUUCAGCGAGGAGGCGUUACUCGCAGAAGAAGCACCGGCUAACUCCGUGCCAGCAGCCGCGGUAAUAC
rnacentral:rRNA from 1 species